rnacentral:lncRNA from 1 species
UCUGACAUAUACUACACCAUGGAUGGACCUUGAAAAUAUCAUGCUAAGUGGAAGAAGCCAGACACAAAAGACCACAAAAGACCACACACUGUAUGAUUCCAUGUCUAUGAAAUGCCAGAUGAAUAAAUCCAUAGGCAGAAAACAGACUGGGGGUGGCCUAAAACUGGGGAGAGGUGAGGGAAAUGCCUGCUGACAAGAACAGGGCUUCCUUCUGUGGUGGUAAAAAAGUUCUGGAACUAGAGAGAGCUGGUGGCUGCACUAAAAUAUGAAUACGCUGCAUGCCAUUGACAUGCUUGCCUUUAAAUGGUUAAUCUUGUGUCGUAUAAAUAUCACGUUAAUUAAGAAAUAAUCAUCAGUAGGCUAUUGAGCCCACAAUGGGAGGCCAUGGACAUGGGCACCAUUGGAGCCCAUGGUGAGGCAGCUCCAGCAGAGCUCAGGGAAUCAACUGUGCACGGGCCCUACAGCGAAGGUCACCUCAAUGCAGCCCAGAGCUCCUGACACCCCCAGCCCAGGGAUAGAGGGAAAAGCCCAGGGCUAGCUGAGGUCGCCCUCCUCCCCAAAGAGGUAGGCCAACAGGGACAGAGUGUGGGGCAGACAAUUAGCAGGUGCCUUAACAAAGCACAAGGGACUAGGUCCGAGGAGUGGGAUAGAGGGGUAAAUCUGGCUCUGUCAGGUUCUCGAGCUUCUUCCUUCGAGCCCAAAGACUUGCCUCUACAUCACAUGUGGCCCACAGCACUCUCUCAGCCAAAGCUGGCUCACCUUUGGCCACAUAUCUCCAUGGUGGGUGGUUUUCAUAGAUGAGUUGGAAGAUAGGGAGAUAGACAAGGUAAGUAAAUAGCAAGCAGGGGGCCCUGGAGUCUCCAGCCAGGUCUGCUCUGUGACCUCAGGGAAGUGAUGUUGCCUCUCUGGGCUCGGUUCAUCUGUCUGUCUAAUGAAAACAAACCAAAACAGGAAGCGUCCUGGGACUGUAAGCCCUGCUCAAAGGUUCCAGCUUCUGGGUCCUCACAACAGAGCUUGAAGAGCUUUGGAACAAGAAAGACUGCAAGGUCAGGGGAGGAGAGAGACAGUGCAGCAGGCAGAGGGACCCAGGGAAGAGGCUCUGCUUCAGGUCCAGAGAACACAGUUCCAGGAGGACGGAUUGCAGCAGCCACGGUGUGUUGGGCUUCAGAGAUGGAAGGAUUUGAGGUGGGUCCCGACAUCUAGAAUGGCUUUUUAAAGGCAGAGUGCUCAAAGCAGAGGAAACAACAAAUGCAUGGGUUUAGAGGAAGGGCCAAACCUGGACACAUCUGUGUGGCUGGAGGACAGUGCCAUAAGUAGAAAUUGGGGAGGUCCGCAGGGGAUUACCUUGUAAGAGUUGUCUUGUUCCAUUAUUUUGGUUUAGAUUCUGCACAUAAGAGAUACCAUGCAGUAUUUGUCUUUUUCUGCCUGGCUCAUCUCACUUAGCACAAAAUCCUCUUGGUCCAUCCUUGUUGCCACAAAUGGCAGGAUUUCCUUCUUUCCUGUGGCUGAACAAUAAUCCAGUCGUGUAUAUGCUAUAUUUUCUUGACCCUUCAUCCACCUACAGACACUUGGGGUGUUUGUAUAACUCAUGUACUGUGAAUAAUGCAGCGAUGAACGUGGGAUUGCAGAUAGCUCCCAGAUAUUGUUUUCAUUUCCUGUUUGGUUUUCAAGAAAUCUCCACAUUGACUUCCAUAGCAGCUGCACCAGCAGUUGGAAUUGUACUUUACAUAUUAUGGAGAGGAGGGUGCUAUGUGAAGGACAAGAUCUAGUUUACGUCUGUAGGAGCUACUCCUGCCAGCUCAAUGAAGAUGUUAUUUUAGGGGCCCGAAGUGGAAAGUAGAGCCAUGUGGAUAUCUGGGGAAAAGAAUGUUCUAAGCAGUGGGAACAGACAGUGCAAAAGUCCUGAGGCAGGAGCCUGCCUGGCUUGUUCAAGAACCAUCAUGACACCAGAAUGAGUGCAAUGUAGAGUAGGAGGUGAAAUCAGAGAUGAGGACAGAAAGAUGGAGGGAGGGACAGUUCAAGGUGAUGGCCGUUAGGUCACUUGCAGUUUCCAACACUGAGAUUUUCUCUUAACCUCAAUACUGUUGUUCAAGGUGCUCAAAGUCCUCUCUCACCUUCUCCUGAACAAACUAUUUAAGAAAGCAGAGUCCUAUCUCUCAUAACCCCGUCUGAGAUUUUUAUAUAUUCAAUACCUCUCCAUGUGAUAAAGCUUUAGCAAUGUUUAAUAGUCUUAUUUAUUUGAAAAGCUUGAUUUUAUUAAUAUUUGUCCCGCAGAUCUUCACAAGUAUACUUUGGUCCACACUUUGGAGUCAAUAAAUGGAUUUAUUUUUACUCUUGUCAUCAAACAACAAAUUCAAUUUAAUAAAAUUUAGUUGUGAACCCCGUAUAGUCUCCCAACCCCCACACCUGGGGAUCGAUACUUAUUUUGUUGAAUUUCAGAGAGUGUCCUACGUAUCUUCAUUCCUGUAAUAUCUCACACUUCUGUCUCAGAGGGGUUUUUUUUCAGUUAUUUUCAGGUGUUCAGUCCUUUUUACAUAUCAAAUUAUCAUCAGCUUUAAUAACCCAAUCGUUCCUUUCUUAUAAAACCAGAUAAAUGUUGAUGACACUGUUAGAAUUGCAUUUAUUUAAUUUAAGUAAUUAAUUUAUUUGAGAGAGAGAGCAAGAGCAUGAGUUGGGGGGGCAGAGGGACAAGCAGAUCCCCUGCUGAGCAGGGCCCCAGGCAAGGCUCAACCCCAGACCCUAAGAUCCUGACCCGAACCGAAGUCAGAUACAAUCAGCUGAGCCACUCAGGUGCCCCUAGAAUUGCAUUUAUUAAAGGCAACUCUUUUUUUUCUUGAAAUAUUUUAUUUUAUUUUAUAAACUUAUUUUUAUUGGUGUUCAAUUUGCCAACAUAUAGAAUAACACCCAGUGCUCAUCCCAUCAAGUGCCUCCCUCAGUGCCCGUCACCCAGUCACCCCCACCCCUGCCACCUCCCCUUCCACCACCCCUAGCUCGUUUCCCAGAGUUAAGAGAGACUCCUAUUGGGGCAGCCCUGGUGGCGCAGCGGUUUAGUGCUGCCUGCAGCCUGGGGUGUGAUCCUGGAGACCCAGGAUCGAGUCCCACAUCAGGCUUCCUGCAUGGAGCCUGCUUCUCCCUCUGCCUGUCUCUGCCUCUCUCUUUGCUCUCUCUGAAUGAAUAAAUAAAUAAAUCUUAAAAAAAAAAAGAGAGAGAGAGACUCCUAUUAAACGCAACUCUUGAAAACUAAAAGCAAACCAAAAAAUACACCUUUAUUUACUAAGUGCUGGCUCCUUUCCCACAAUUAUUACUGAGAAGAAUUUACAAGACCCGAUACAAUUGCCAGGCUAUUCCUUGCAGACUGAGGUCCUCAGGUUGUCAUUUGUGUCCAUAUACAAUUCCAAUUUUGGCUAUUUCAAUCCCCAGCUCUUCAGGUACAUUGCUUUAUUCUCUGUGUGUUUAUUGGACGCAUGGUGCCAUAUGUAAAGUUUUAAGAGGCAUAUUUAAAGUGCUCCGUUUUAGUUGUAUCUUCUCUGUAUCAUCCAGAAAAAGCUGAACAAAGAGAUUUGAAUGAUACCAAAUUAAAACAUUCAGAAAGUUCUGCAUAUUUUGCCUGAAACUCUGGACUUACAUUAUAUCAUUAUUAUAUAUAUAUAAUUUCACUUUUUAAAGUAAAUUAUGAAAAACUCCUGUAGUGAAAUUGAUCAUGGUUGAGGUUUUUCCUAGUUGAGUAAUUGUUUACCAAAAUUGUUCUCUUUUCAGGAAAUGGGUUUUUCCACAAGCAAAUCCACGAGUCUGAAUGGUGGUGUUGUGCCCAUUUUGACAGUAUGAUUUUUGAUGUUUUACUAAUUAUUUCAUAUCUGGAAAGUCUCA